rnacentral:rRNA from 1 species
AACGAACGCUGGCGGCAUGCCUAACACAUGCAAGUCGAACGAGACCUUCGGGUCUAGUGGCGCACGGGUGCGUAACGCGUGGGAACCUGCCCUUAGGUUCGGAAUAACUCCCCGAAAGGGGUGCUAAUACCGGAUAAUGUCUUCGGACCAAAGAUUUAUCGCCUUUGGAUGGGCCCGCGUUGGAUUAGCUAGUUGGUAGGGUAAAAGCCUACCACGGCGACGAUCCAUAGCUGGUCUGAGAGGAUGAUCAGCCACACUGGGACUGAGACACGGCCGAGACUCCUACGGGAGGCAGCAGUGGGGAAUAUUGGACAAUGGGCGAAAGCCUGAUCCAGCAAUGCCGCGUGAGUGAUGAAGGCCUUAGGGUUGUAAAGCUCUUUUACCCGGGAUGAUAAUGACAGUACCGGGAGAAUAAGCUCCGGCUAACUCCGUG